CGGAAGGCAGCAGUGAGGAAUAUUGGUCAAUGGACGAGAGUCUGAACCAGCCAAGUAGCGUGCAGGAUGACGGCCCUAUGGGUUGUAAACUGCUUUUGUACGGGAAUAAAGUGACCUACGUGUAGGUUUUUGCAUGUACCGUAAGAAUAAGGACCGGCUAAUUCCGUGCCAGCAGCCGCGGUAAUACGGAAGGUCCGGGCGUUAUCCGGAUUUAUUGGGUUUAAAGGGAGCGUAGGCCGUGCUUUAAGCGUGUUGUGAAAUGUAGGCGCCCAACGUCUGCACUGCAGCGCGAACUGGAGCACGUGAGUACGCAGGAAGUAGGCGGAAUUCGUCGUGUAGCGGUGAAAUGCUUAGAUAUGACGAAGAACUCCGAUUGGGAAGCCAGCUUACUGUAGCGCCACUGACGCUGAUGCUCGAAAGCGUGGGUAUCGAACAGGAUUAGAUACCCUGGUA
rnacentral:rRNA from 1 species